GGUCUUCCAGUCGUCACACAGUGACAAGAAGUCUCCGCAAUUCUUUGUGACCACGCAAGUGUUCCAACGAAAUCUGUGCCCGUCUGACGGCUGCAUGGAUUCUUUAUUCCAACAAGAGGUACCAGACUGAGUGAUCUAGCUAGUGCGCGAAGCAAACAGACG
rnacentral:ribozyme from 1 species